GGUCUCAUAGCUCAAUUGGAUAGAGCGACUCCCUUCUAAGGAGUAGGUUCCAGGUUCGAGUCCUGGUGAGACCG
rnacentral:tRNA from 1 species